rnacentral:rRNA from 1 species
UGAGGAAUAUUGGUCAAUGGGGGCAACCCUGAACCAGCCAAGUCGCGUGAAGGAUGAAGGUCUUAUGGAUUGUAAACUUCUUUUACACGGGAAUAAAGCGGGGGACGUGUCCCUCUUUGCAUGUACCGUGUGAAUAAGGAUCGGCUAACUCCGUGCCAGCAGCCGCGGUAAUACGGAGGAUCCGAGCGUUAUCCGGAUUUAUUGGGUUUAAAGGGUGCGCAGGCGGGAUGUUAAGUCGGCGGUGAAAUUUUGCAGCUCAACUGUAAAAGUGCCUUCGAUACUGGCUUCCUUGAGUGUAGAUGAAGUAGGCGGAAUUUGUGGUGUAGCGGUGAAAUGCUUAGAUAUCACGAGGAACUCCGAUUGCGCAGGCAGCUUACUAAACUACAACUGACGCUCAUGCACGAAGGCGUGGGGAUCAAACA